rnacentral:rRNA from 1 species
GCCCAGACUCCUACGGGAGGCAGCAGUGGGGGAUAUUGCACAAUGGGGGGAACCCUGAUGCAGCGACGCCGCGUGGGUGAGGAAGUACCCCGGUAUGUAAAGCCCUUUCGGCAGGGAAGAAAAUGACGGUACCUGGCGAAGAAGCCCCGGCUAACUACGUGCCAGCAGCCGCGGUAAUACGUAGGGGGCAAGCGUUAUCCGGAAUUACUGGGCGUAAAGGGUGCGUAGGUGGUUUCUUAAGUCAGAGGUGAAAGGCUGCGGCUCAACCGUAGUAAGCCUUUGAAACUGGGAACUUGAGUGCAGGAGAGGAGAGUGGAAUUCCUAGUGUAGCGGUGAAAUGCGUAGAUAUUAGGAGGAACACCAGUUGCGAAGGCGGCUCUCUGGGCUGUAACUGACACUGAGGCACGAAAGCGUGGGGAGCAACCAGGAUUAGAUACCCCAGUAUA